rnacentral:lncRNA from 1 species
CGCCUUUUCCCUCUUCAUGUCUCUCAUGCUGAUGGCUGCCUCCUACAGCUUUCACCUAACGGCUCGUGUGCGCUCGAUCACUGUCACUGCGGCGAACAGCGCACCGAUUCCUGAUUACCCAACCACUCACUCACUCACUGACCCACAUCUGAUUACACACUCACUCACUGACCGACAUCUGAUUACACACUCACUCACUGACCGACAUCUGAUUACACACUCACUCACUGACCCACAUCUGAUUACACACUCACUGACCAACGUAAUUGACUCCUGUUUAUCCGCUUACUCACUGACUGACUCCAACUCAACUACUCACCCACCUCUGUUUACCCAUUGAUUCACAGACUUACUCCAGAGAGGGGUUUGUGAAACCUUUUAGUUGAUAAAUGACUAGUUGCAUUGUGUGCUUAGCAGUGCAUGGAAUUGAAACCUGUAAAGAUAGGUCAAAACUUUAUGGAUCCUGGACUAUCACACCUAUAGGAGCUUAGAGGAUGUUAAUUUACAAAACCAUGGCUUUUAAAGGACCACUAUAGGCACCCUGACCACUUCAGCUCAAUGAAGUGGUCUAGGUGCCAGGUCCAUCCACAGGCAUAGGCAACCUUCAGCACUCCAGAUGUUUUGGACUACACUUACCAUGAUACUUUGCUUGCAUUUUGGGUGUGAGAGCAUUAUGGGGGAUGUAGUCCACAACAUCUGGAGUGCUGCAGGUUGCCUAUCCCUAGGAUUAACCCUUUCUGCUGUAAACUGAAACUGCUAUGUUUCUAAAUGGGUUAACCAGCCUCUAGUGGCUGUCUUAUUGACAGCUGCUAGAGGCACUUCCGCGCUUCUCACUGUGAUUUUUCACAGUGGGAAGAUGCCAGCGUCCGUAGGAAAAGUUGCUCCACACUUCUUCACUUAUCUUGAUAUGUGCACAGGGGCACAAUCAUGGAGGAACUAGAAAGGUCUCAAUUUUAUGCAUCUUUUAGAAAUCUAACUGAAUACAAAUUAGUGAGGCGAAAAUAGUCUGGGUUAUGUUAGAAUUUAAUAAUUGCACAGUAACACGUAUAGGUGUGAUUGUAUAGGCCCCCUGGACAAAUAGAAGCAUUAGAUAAUAUGCAUUGAAGGGGUAAAUUAUAUCAUAAGUGACUUUCAUCUUCUGCUGUGUACUGGAAGACCAAAAUAGCUGCUUGUGCGAGAAGUACACAUUUUGUAAAUACAACUCACAAGGAGGUCAUACUAGAUUUAGUGUUAACAAAUGGAGAUUUGGUAUCAGAUAUUACUGUAGGUGAAAGUUUAGGAUCUAGUGAUCAUCAGUCAGUGUGCUUUAAUCUGAAAGCUGACUAAGUCAUACAACACAAAAACAAGUUUUAGCUUUUUGAAAACAAGAUUUUUCUAAAUCUAGAAUAUGCAUAAAGGUGUCAUCAGACUGGAGCAGUUUUUAACCCCUACCCAACUUCUGACGUACCAGGUACAUCUGGCAAAAAAAACAGUUGUUACAAACCUCGGAUAUACCUGGGAAGUCCGCGCCACAUUAUUCACUUACCUGAUCGUGAUGUGGGGACUUGCCUGGCAUCCCAGGCAGUCCCCCUGCGGCUGAUCCGGCCCCCCUUGCCCAUGUGAUCGCUGGGGUCAAAAUACAUUUAGAAUGACGUUAUAAAUACAUAUAUCCCCUUAAUGAGAAAAAAACGGUCAUUAAGGACUGCGGACAAAAUAGGAGCCCUGGACCAGCGACCCUGGUCAAAGGGAACUGCCAGAGACCCUGGCUGUCCCCUUGCAGCAGCUUUGGCCACCCCAGCCCUUUAGGGCCAUGUGAUUACCCGCAAUAGGAGUCUAUGGAGCUCCCAGCAGGGGAACUGUCAGGCAAUCCCCCAAGCUACUAAAAAGUAAAAAAUUAUAUAUGUUAUACAUAUAUUAAAUAUGUAUAUAUAUGAUUUCAUUAUAAGUGUACUUUGAGAUAUAUACACGUAUAUCUCAAAACAGACUUAUGAAAUCAUAUAUGGAUAAUCUAUUAUAAAAUGCAUAUAUAUAUAUAUAUAUAUAUAUAUAUAUAUAUAUAUAUAUAUAUAUAUAUAUACGUACACACGUAUUAUACACUGAACAAAAUUAUAAAUGCAACACUUGUUUUUGCCCCCAUUUUUCAUAAGCUGAACCCAAAGAGCUAAGACUUUUUCUAUGUACACAGAAAGCUAAUUUCUCUCAAAUAUUGUUCACAAAUCUGUCUAAAUCUGUGUUAGUGAUCACUUCUCCUUUGCCGAGAUAAUCCAUCCACCUUACAGGUGUGGCAUAUCAAGAUGCUGAUUUUAUUAAAGACACGGAGGCUCCUAUUAUGCAUUCUCUUUCUUUAUUAUACUCCCAGCAGCAAGAAAAGGAAGUAUGAGAGAAUCAUAUAAAAAACAUAACAACAGCCUGAUAACAGUGGCACCAAUCAGCAUCCAGUAUUAUCCAUAUGGGUGUGGUGCUCCUUGACUCCUCUUUCUUGCUGCUCCCUCAGACAAGUUAAAGGACCACUCUAGGCACCCAGACCACUUCAGCUUAAUGAAGUGGUCUGGGUGCCAGGUCCUUCUAGGGUUAACCCAUUUUUUUUUAUAAACAUAGCAGUUUCAGAGAAACUGCUAUGUUUAUCAAUGGGUUAAGCCAGCCUCCAAAUCCUCUAGUGGCUGUCUCAUUGACAGCCACUAGAGGCGCUUGCGUGCUCCUCACUGUGAUUUUCACAGUGAGAGCACGCCAGCGUCCAUAGGAAAGCAUUGUAAAUGCUUUCCUAUGCGACGGGCUGAAUGCACGCGCAGCUCUUGCCGCGCGUGCGCAUUCAGCCGGCGGGGAGGAUCGGAGGAGGCAGAGAGCUCCCCGCCCAGCGCUGGAAAAAGGUAAGUUUUUAACCCUUUCCCCCUUCCAGAGCCGGGCGGGAUGGGGUCCCUGAGGGUGGGGACAACCCUCAGGGCACUAUAGUGCCAGGAAAAGUAUGUUUUCCUGGCACUAUAGUGGUCCUUUAAGUACCUCAUCUCUUGCUACUCCUGUGAUUUUCAUAUAUAUAUAUUUGUAUUUGGGUAAAAGAUUUUAGCAUAGUGUAUGUUUAUGCUUAUUUUAUGCUUCACUGUUAUUGCUGGUUUAUUUACUGCUGGUGUCUGGGAGUGCUGCCUAUUAAGAAAAAGGGGUCUCUGGGACCCUGGGUUUUCCCCCUCUGAGUAGUGUUAUACUCUUCCCCCUGCUCGUUCCGUUUUUUCUGUGGGUUCAGCAGGGCUGCCCUUAGCUGCUCACUGUUUUGGCCGCGGUCUAUUCCGCGGUUUUCUUCCGGUCCGCGCAUGCGCGAACGCUCUUUCGCCGGUUUUCCUCUUUUCCUAACGGCCGCGCAUGCGCAUUACGUGCCGUGGCUGCCAUCUUUUUGGUUUCUGUCGCCGCCUAUGUAAAUUUACUCGCGGCGGCCAUUUUAAGUACGUUUUCGGCGGGAAAUUGCUGCGGACCGAUGCUGUAGGUGGAUAACGGUUUCUCCUACCCUCUUGGCGCACUCCCAGACCCAUCCUGUGCUUAUUUACUGUUUUUGCUGUCAUUGCUGGUCAAACUGUAAGUGUUGGUGUGGAGGAUUACUCUAUCCUGACACCCUUUUUGUCCUUAGCCUUAGCUAGUAUACUUUUUUCCCUACAGGUCAUUUCAGAUACUGUUCUUAACCAUUAGCUACUACUAGUGGCAUUACCUUAUUGGGCCCAAUAAUUCUAACUCUGAGUGGACUUGGGUGUAUUAUCCCCUGUGAGUUUAUAUUAUUGCUAAAAUGCAAGAUCAGAAUGAGAGACCUGCAGGGUCUGUGUGUCCUACACCAGGGGUUUUCCCCUCAGACAGGGCAUGUAAGGAUGACACCAGCCUCAUGGCAUCGGAGGAAUUUCAAUCCCUCCUCGAUUCCACCAUGGCACAAUCCAUCAACAAGGCGUUAGCCUCCGCGAUGGGGGUCAUGUCAUCCUCUAUCACACAAUCUAUAACCAAAGCGCUGAUACAGUCUCAAAGUAGUGGUCCUCAGAGCACACUAAACCCGGGAACCACUAAUGUGGUACAACCGGGACGCAAAGCCUUGACGAAAAGCAAACAUAUUGCCUCCCCUCCAGAACUGCAGGUUCAGCCUGCAAUGACUGACACGCCUCAGGCUGUCAAGGAUGGCGCGAUACCACCGCGCAAUAGAGCCCCUGGCCGGGCAAAAUCGGCCAGAUCCUGGAAGCGGGCACGUGCCCAAGAGGACUCGUCUGAUUCGGACCGGAGCUUGGAGGAGGAGUAUGAUGAUUUAUGUAUGGACCAUUAUAGUGCGGAAUAUUCCGAUUCUGGAUCCGAGGUGAAAUUUCACACUGCGACCCAGCAGGCUACAGCUCAGGGCGCUGAGCCUGCCGUAUCGGGCGAGGGCGACGAUUUGCGGGACCCUCUGGGUAACCCGUUGUUUGACCCAGAUAACCUCCGUCACCCUCGCUCGGCGGAAUGGGAGCCGCCUGCGCACAUUGCGAGGUACCUCGCGCUAAGAGUAGGAAAACCUUUUAUCUAAGGAAGGACGUAACAAACUACGGGUGGAAUGCCCACGGCCUAUCCUUCCAGACUCAGUGGGAAAAAACCCUGACGUGGAUCCCCAAUUGGUCCAAUUUUUUAAUAAGUCGGGUUGGAAACCGAGGAAAGGUUUGGAUUUCUCCCUUCGGAACUGCCAGGACAAGUUCCUGGACACUUUGGGGCCCAUCACCAAACUUUAUGAGUUAGUGGAAUCUGCCCAAUCAGGUGAGAAUGACUUUGAUUUCGAAGUAGCGAAAGGCUGGUUGCAGAGGUUAGUCUGCAUGGUGGGUAACGCCAAUACAGCCAUGGCAACCGAACCCCGCAAGGCAAUUCUCAUGAGAAUAGAGCCCAAACUGGUCAGUAUGGCGACCAAUGAGCCGGGGCCAGCCGCUAAAGGCUUACUCUUUGGUGAAUCCUUCAUUAAGGAUCUUGGGCUGUACGUUGAAACAUUUACAGCAAUUGACAAAGCUCAGACUUCUCUUAAAAGAGUAUUUGCACCUCGGGUUUUUGGAGGGGCCGGUAGAGGUAGGAGCCGUCUAUCCGGCCGUGGAUUUCGAGGCUCAUUUAGAGCCGGCAGAGGCUCCUUUAAUACCCAGAGACCGGUACCAGAACGAACCUACACCCCGUUCUUCCCAUCUCGUGGACGCCCCUGGAAUUCCCGCGGACCGCGGGGGUCUGUCUCAGGCAGACGACCUUAUGGUGAGUACCGAGUAUCUCCAUUUUUCCCAUAUAAAAGUGGGGGGCAGAUUGGCACUGUUUCACCAUGCUUGGAAACUUCUAACCUCAGAUGUUUGGGUAUUAAAUACAGUACAGGGGUACCUGAUGGAGCUAGUCUCUUACCCUACUCAGGUGCAGUUCCCUCGAGAACUAAACAUCAGAUUGGAUGGUCAAGAUAGAUUUACGGGAUGCUUAUCUGACAAUCCCUGUCGCAGAAGCGCACCAAAACCUACUGCAGUUUCAGUGUCAAGGAACGAAGUGGAGGUUUGUAUGUCUACCAUUUGGUCUGUCCUCUGCUCCAUGGUGCUUCACAAAGGUACUAAAGCCGGUGAUUGCCUUCCUGCGCACACGAGGGGUCAGGUUAAUAAUUUACCUAGACGAUAUCCUUCUCCUGUCUCAAUCCCAAUUACGGGUUCAUUUGUCUUGGACAACACACCUUCUCCAAAACUUAGGAUUCUUGGUGAAUUGGGAGAAAUCUGUCCUUCAACCCUCCAGAUACAUGGAAUUUCUGGGAUUUCAAGUGGACUCUGUACAACAGAGGUUGUGCCUACCCAAAGACAAAAUGAUUUCGAUCAAGAAAGAGAUCAGACGACUUAUGAUUCGUACGACCAUUUCCCUCAGACAACUUGCGAGGAUCAUAGGGCAUCGUCCAUACAAGCAAUCUUCCGGGGCCCGUUACAUUAUCGUGCCCUACAAAGGCUCAAGGCCUCAUAUCUGCGCUCCGGACACUCGUACGAAACCUGUGUUACACUGGACGAAGAUUCCAGAGAGGAGUUGACAUGGUGGCUAGCCCACAUGGAGGCGUGGAACGGACGGGUGAUAUUCGGGUCUCCGCCAGAUCUGGUCAUAGAGUCAGACGCCAGCUUACACUGCUGGGGCGCGCAUUGUGGUUCAGUUUCCACCGGUGGCAGAUGGUCCAACGAAGAAACGUUGCUACACAUCAACUGCCUAGAACUGUUAGCGGCAUCCUUUGCCAUUCGCAGCAUGACCCCCACAGGCAUCUCAUGCUCUAUCCUAAUCAAGAUGGACAACGUUUCGGCGGUGCGUUAUAUCAACCACCUAGGAGGAACGAAAUCGAAAGUUCUGGCACUGAUGGCUCGAGAUUUUUUGCACUUUAGUCUAAGACAACAUUUCGGUAAUAGCGGAAUAUAUCCCAGGACGGGACAAUGCACUGGCGGAUUGGAAUUCUCGAUAUCUUCGAGACGCAGGGGAUUGGCAUCUCCACCCAAUGAUCUUCCAACGUCUCUCUCGACUUUGGGGACCUCUCAACAUAGAUCUCUUCGCGUCUCGACUGAACACCCAACUUCCUCGGUUCUUCAGUUGGAGACCGGACCCAGAUGCGCUGGCGACAGACGCAUUCUCACAAGACUGGUCCAAGGGCAAGAAUUACGCUUUUCCACCUUUCAGCCUAAUCUCUCGGACCCUUGCAUACCUUCGAUAUUCCAAAGGGACUAUACUGCUGAUAACCCCGAUAUGGAGGUAACAACCUUGGUUCCCACAGUUAUUAGAAAUGUCGAUAGAUUCCCCACGACUGUUGCCGGACAUACCCUACCUCCUGACCAAUCCAGAGGGAAUGAGUCACGAGUUGAUCGACCAGGGUCUACUUCGCCUGAUGGCAUGGUUCCUUUCAGGAGAACAUGGAAUCUCGAGGAUGUUUCGCAGACAACACUCAGUCUCUUGGCAGAGUCUUGGGCACCAGGUACCAGACGUUCCUACGGGUCGGCUUGGAGGAAGUGGACUGAUUGGUGCGUGGGACAAUCAGUGGAUCCCAUAUCAGCUCCUGUGAAAAUAAUUUUACAAUUCCUGACUCUACUCUUUGAAGAAGGUAAAGCCUUUCGGACUAUAAAUCUAUACAGGUCAGCUAUAUCGGCGAGACAUAUGGGAUUGGAUGGUACUCCAAUAGGUAAACAUACCCUCAUCUGUCGUUUGCUCAAAGGCAUCCGGUUUGCUCGACCCCCGCAGGCUCGGUAUUCUUCCUUCUGGGAUGUCAAUGUGAUUUUUCGUUUUCUCGAGUCUUGGCCUUUGAAUCACGAAUUUUCUCUUAAACAAUUGUCAACCAAACUGUUGAUGCUGUUUUGUUUACUUUCAUGUAAACGGGUUGUUGAUGUCAGAGCAUUGGAUUGGCAAGCACGCGCUUUUGUUCCGAACGGAGUUUCCUUCAAUGUUUCACGUAGGACAAGGUCUACAACUAAGGAGGUUUUCUACCCGUCGUUUCCAGACAACCCGAAUCUGUGCCCAGUGUUAUGCCUUAAGGAAUACGAGCGCCGCACGAGCUCGCUCCGUCCUGAUCAAACCCAUCCAUUAUUCAUCUCGUUCAGAGUACCGCACCUACCAGUAUCUACUCCUACUUUAGCUCGUUGGAUCAAAUGGUUAUUAUCCGUGGCAGGCAUAGACACUUCAAUUUUCUCCUCACACUCCAUUCGCAGGGCGAUGGAUUCUAAAGCUUCCAUGAUAGGUUGUAGAUUGGAAGACAUCUUACGAGCAGCUGAUUGGUCGAAUGAGUCUACGUUUCGUAAUUUCUACUUUCGACCAGUGCAACAUAUUUCCAGUUUGGUGGUUGCUCAGCUUUAAAAUAGCAUAAUAGGAGCCUCCGUGUCUUUAAUAAAAUGUCCAGAUUUUACUAUUAACAUGACGUAAAGUCAUGAUUUUAUUAAUGACACGGAGGCGAGUAUUAUUCCCUCCCGCCCUACCCAGGGUGGUGUUUAAGUUACAGGUCAGUCAUGGGACCUUUGGAAUGACACAAUACGGUAGGUACAAUGUCAUACACGACACGAAGGUAAGGUUUGUGAUGAAUAUACUUCUAUAUACUUAUAGUGUUGGAAUAACGUAGUGGUAGAGUUGGAUAACUGUGGAAUAGCAGUCGCAAGCCUCGAUAUUACCAUAUAUUUCUUCUUUUUUAGCUUGAAUACACCUAUUAAAGUUGGCGGUUGAAGCGGUUCCCUGUUGAAUUUCCGGUUAUGGUUUUGUUUCGGGAAUUCGUGUUUGUUGGAAUAUUUUGGAACUUACAAUAUGGUCUUCGGGAUCUACACAGAAAGAGGAGGAGUCAAGGAGCACCACACCCAUAUGGAUAAUACUGGAUGCUGAUUGGUGCCACUGUUACCAGGCUGUUGUUAUGUUUUUUAUAUGAUUCUCUCAUACUUCCUUUUCUUGCUGCUGGGAGUAUAAUAAAGAAAGAGAAUGCAUAAUACUCGCCUCCAUGUCAUUAAUAAAAUCAUGACUUUACGUCAUGUUAAUAGUAAAAUCUGGGAAUUAGACAGCAUGAUCAUUGCACGGGUGUGCUUUAGCCUGGCCACGAUAAAAUACUGAACAAAAUAUGGUAUAGGCUAUAUAUCAACAAGUGGAGCACUAUACAAAUGUAAAUAUAAAAUAGUGGAGGGGUUCACUUACCCCAUUAAAACAAUAACACACUUGGAAAUAUACACUUGGGGACACAUAUAAAAAGAAAAAAAACAGAAAUAUAUAGUGCAGAUGGUUUUAAGCAAUAAUUGGUGAUAAAAGUAGAUAACUACACCCUGUUCCAAAUUAUGCAUAUUCUAUUUAAGUGUGACAAAGAUUAAAUAUUUUGUUUUUCAGUUUAACUCAUGGAUGGCAUUGUGUCUCAGGGCUCUUUUGAUCACUGAAAACAAUCUCGGACACCUGUGAUAAUUAGAUUACCAGGUGAGCCCAAUUUAAGGAAAAACUACUAAAGGAGGGUGUUCCACUUUAUGAAGCAGAGCACCAUUUUCAUGCAAUAUGGGGAAGAAAAAGGAUCUCUCUGCUGCCAAAAAGAGUAAAAUAGUUCAAUGCCUUGGACGAGGUAUGAAAACAUUAGAUAUUUCACAAAAACUUAGGCAUGAUCAUCUCACUAUUAAGAGAUUUGUGGCUGAUUCAGAGCACAGAUGGGUUCGUGCAGAUCCAUGCAUCGGAUCAAGAGAGCAGCUGCUAAAAUACCAUUACAUAGCAGCAAACAGAUAUUUGAAGCUGCUGGUGCCUCUGGAGUCCCACGGACAUCAAGUUGUAGAGUCCUCCAGAGUCUUGCAACUGUGCAUAAACCUUCUAUUCGGCCACCACUAAUCAAUACUCACAAGCAGAAACAGCUGCAUUGGGCAGAAAAAUACAUGAAGACUAAUUUUCAAACAGUCCUGUUCACUGAUGAGUGCUGUGCAGCCCUGGAUGGUCCAGAUAGAUAGAGUGGUGGAUGGCCACGCUGUUCCAAUAAGGCUGUGGUGGAGUCAUGUUUUGGGCCGGAAUCAUGGGAAGAGAGCUGGUUGGCCCCUUUAUGGUCCUCGAAGGUGUAAAGAUGACCUCUGCAAAGUAUGUGGAGUUUCUGACUGACCACUUUCUUCACUGGUACAGAAGGAAGAACUAUUCUUUCUAUAAUAAAAUCAUCUUCAUGCAUGACAAUGCACCAUCUCGUGCUGCAAAGAAUACCUCUGCAUCAAUGGCUGCUAUGGGGAUAAAGGAGAGAAAGUCAUGGUGUGGUCUCCAUCCUCCCCUGACCUCAAUCCUAUUGAGAACCUUUGGAGCAUCCUCAAGCAAAAGAUCUAUGAGGGUGGGAGGCAGUUUACUUCCGAACAGCAGCUCUGGGAGGCUAUUCUGACAUCUUGCAAACAAAUUCAAGCAGAAACUGUCCAAAAACACACAAGUUUAAAGGAUGCAAGGCUUGUGAAGCUGCUAUCAAAUAAGGGGUCCUGUGUUAAAAUAUUAUGUGAU